rnacentral:misc_RNA from 1 species
AUAUCUAUCAACCAUUUUGUGUGCUUGCAUGCAAACUUGGCUUGGAUGUGAGGGUUUUUGCUGGCUUUCGUGGUCUGCUCCCUUUAAAUGCAUUAGUGGGAAUUCUCUGCAGCCGGUCUUUCCGUGUGAUAAACCUUUACGCGGUCUGUACUUGUGGGGAAACCUGCUUAUAACCGUCCGAAAGGACAACAUUAUUUUAUGA